rnacentral:rRNA from 1 species
UACGGGGGGGGCAAGCGUUGUUCGGAAUUACUGGGCGUAAAGGGCUCGUAGGCGGCCAACUAAGUCGGACGUGAAAUCCCUCGGCUUAACCGGGGAACUGCGUCCGAUACUGGAUGGCUUGAGGUUGGGAGAGGGAUGCGGAAUUCCAGGUGUAGCGGUGAAAUGCGUAGAUAUCUGGAGGAACACCGGUGGCGAAGGCGGCAUCCUGGACCAACACUGACACUGAGGAGCGAAAGCCAGGGGAGCAAACGGG